UGAGCCGGCCAGGCGGCCGCGGUCCCCGCGUGCGGGGGCCGAGGAAAGUCCGGACUCCGCAGAGCAGGGUGGUGGGUAACGCCCACCCGGGGUGACCCGCGGGACAGUGCCACAGAGAACAGACCGCCGUCGGGCCGCGAGGUCCGGCGGUGAGGGUGAAACGGUGGUGUAAGAGACCACCAGCACCCCAGGUGACUGGGGUGGCUCGGUAAACCCCACCCGGAGCAAGAUCAAGAGGGUGCGCGCGAGCGCACCUGCGGAGACGUCCGAGGGCUGCUCGCCCGAGUCUCCGGGUAGAUCGCACCAGGCCGUUGGUGACAGCGGUCGCAGAUGGAUGGUCGCCACCCGCCGUUCGCGGCGGGUACAGAAUCCGGCUUACCGGCCGGCUCAUCCC
rnacentral:RNase_P_RNA from 1 species